rnacentral:lncRNA from 1 species
CAGUGGAUAUCCCCUUUGUUCUUGUACAAGGGCACCACUGUACUCCACCUCCACUCCUCCGGGAUCCUUUUGGUCCUGAAGAUCGCAUUGAACAACCUGGAGAGCCACUCCACUCCUGACCUACCCAUGCAUUUCCAGAACUCCACCGGUAUCUCGUCAGGCCCGGUCGCUCGACCCCUACUCAUCCUACGCAAAGCCCCCAUGACCUCCUCCACCCCUAGUAUUCGCAUUGAACAACCUGGAGAGCCACUCCACUCCUGACCUACCCAUGCA